GUUGAGCUAACCGGUACUAAUGAACCGUGAGGCUUAACCUUACAACGCCGAAG
rnacentral:rRNA from 11 species